AUUUAAAUGUCCAGGUGUAUGUGGGUGUGGUGGAAUUAGGAGGAAGAGCGCUUCGCCCCCAUCAAUUCUGCAGUUGCCGUGGCAGCUUAGCCGUGAGUGGGUCAGGUGGCCAAAGCAGAGGCCGACCCCCGCCAGCCGUUGCUGUCAGGCCCCCUCUCGCUCUCUGGUUCAGGAGAACGUCUCUAGAAGAGCGUCAGUUUGGGGCUGGAUAUUGUAAAUCUUGAUCCAAGGAACAGUCUCCAGAUGGAGAAUGGAUAGAAUUUCUCCCCCUUCUCUUGCACUAGGAGUAAGUGAGCGUCACUAGAAGCAUCCAGAUAUGAAGGCUUCAAAUCCUACCUAAACUGCAGACCAAUCUCUGAAAGCAACUUUGUUCAAUUGCAGCCUGACUAGAGGGAGGUAUCAGAACCACAACAAAUGGAAUGAAACCUACCACUACCACCUGCCUGGCACAAAGAAAUAAUUUACAAUUCACGGGGAAUUUCCUGUGUUUCAUUUUGUCUGAAGAACUGUAACUGGACUUGAAUGAACUAAGUGUCUAAUUGUUGCAUUAUUUUUCUUGUAGAGAUUUUAGUGUUUUAUUACUUUCUCCAGUUUACUUCAAUAGUGAAUUAGGUUCCCUCUACCAUCUGAAAUGUUACAGUUCGAUAAAAUAGGUAAAUUAAUAAAGUCUAAAGUGC
rnacentral:lncRNA from 1 species